GUAUACAUAUUGUUUUUUUCAUCAUAGCAUGUCUUUUAUAUUUAUGCUUUGUGUAAGUAAAAUGUUCAUAAAUCAUUCUUAUCUUCAAACUAAAAAUGUAUUGUGCUAUGCAAAAUGUCUGUAUGAUUUCAGUUGCCAGAGGUGAGUACCAUAACAGUUGAAAAGUUAGUUUUGUUUAGUUAAAGUUUUGGUUCACAGUUUUGUUUGUUAUUUGGCAAAAUUUACAUGUAUGCAUUGAGUCUUGAUUUCAGCUAGAUUGUGGACUGAAGAAGAUUGCCAGCAGAGGGAUUGGAUACAAGAUACAAAGUAAGUACUGAGUUUCUUACUAAAAGUUUUGAGUUGUAUUCAUCGUGUGUUAAUAUGCUAUGAUUGCUAUGAACAUGACUUUUGUAUUUCAGCGAAGACAACAUAGGUAAGUAAAAUUGUUAUCUGUUUCAUGUUUACUGUUACAGUUCAAUAUUGUGUUUAUAAAUUGUAAGUUGUACAAACACAUUCAAAAGUUUCUGAUCAUGCUUUCGAUUUCAUUUCAGCUUUACUGCUUGACGAGUGUUAUCAACUACUAGACGAGUCAGCUUUACUACCAGGCGAGCAGUGACAACAAGGCGCCUUUGUGGAAACAACACAACAAAAAACUCUACUGCAAGACGAGCAGUGACAGCAAGGCGCCUGAACAUGCAACACAAUACAAAAAAUGCCAAUUUGCAAACCUUGAUGUGGACACCGAGUAGUCAAUACAUACGUGUGGCGUAUAGCUGCGACAAAACCGUGGGUCCAUCGCACCGAUAACUUGAACAUUGGCCCGUGUAUGGACAUCAGUGCAACUUUGUGAAUCCAUGUAACUUUGUGAAUCCAUGUAACAUUGCGAAUGUGUGUCGAUCGAAAAAUGUGUACAUUCUGCACUGAAACGAACUCGGUGUUGCAAGUGGCAAGUGUUGACAGUGUGUAUGUUUAUGUUUAUGUUUUUACAUGAAAAAUAAAGGAGAUUGUUCUCCUACCUUUUUUUUCCUUGUUUUAUUGUGCUGGCCAGCAAUAUUGAUGUAUUGAUGUAUGUGUUUGUGUUUAAACUAUGCAAUACCAAAAUCAAACAAAAAAUAAACAUUAACAGUCAUUAACUGUGUUUGGGCGGCCGAGGGGUUUAAGACUCCACAAGUGUGAAGCGCACUGAUAGCACUUGGGGGUAAACACCUCGGUAUUUCGGUGCUAAAAUGUUUUCACGGUGCUUAUUUUGACGCACUGUUAGAACUACCAACCAGUAAAUGAUUGCUUGAUUUAUAAAACAAAUAUUCAGUCUCUACUUUGGCACAAGAGACUCUAAGUAUCAAAUACCAACAAUUUAGACGCAGACAAUCACAUGGUGGUACACCAGUCCGAAUAUACUCAUUGCUCUAGCCAGGAUUGCAAAUUACUUGUGUUGACUAGCAAGGCUCCCUAGUAACGAAGCAGUGUUACUGGCGUUUUUUGGGUCGAUAGUGCUUAGGUGAGGUUUUGCUCGAAUCGGGAGCGGGUCACUCGCUUGGGCGAGUUAGUUUUCGCUCGUAGUUUCCAAUCUGGCUAGAUCAAUGUAAGGUUGUUUUGACUGCUAUUUGGCAAGCAGAAAGACAACAGCGGUUAAUUAACUGAGUAUGGGCGACCGAGGUAUGUAGGUGUCAAUAGACCGACUCCACAAGUUGCGAAGCGAACCGAUAGCACUUGAGGGGAAACGCCUCGGUUUUCGGUUCUAACAUGUGUUAUCCAUGCAGUCGUUAUA